UGCAGUCGCACGAGAACUCCUUAGCUUGCUAAGGAUAGUAAAGUGGCGCACGGGUGAGUAACGCGUGGGUAAUCUACCCUCGAAUCUGGGAUAACAUUGCGAAAGCGAUGCUAAUACCGGAUGAUAUUACUUCGGUUUCGGCCGUUGUAAUCAAAGGUGGCCUCUACAUGUAAGCUACUGUUUGAGGAUGAGCCCGCGUCCCAUUAGCUUGUUGGUAUGGGUAACGGCCCACCAAGGCAACGAUGGGUAGCUGGUCUGAGAGGAUGAUCAGCCACACUGGAACUGACACACGGUCCAGACUCCUACGGGAGGCAGCAGUGAGGAAUUUUGCGCAAUGGGCGAAAGCCUGACGCAGCAACGCCGCGUGAGUGAUGAAGGCUCUCGGGUCGUAAAGCUCUGUCAAGCGGGAAGAACCCGCAUGAUGACAAUACCAUCAUGCGCUGACGGUACCGCUGAAGGAAGCACCGGCUAACUCCGUG
rnacentral:rRNA from 1 species